UUACUUACCUAGACGGGAUCAAUAGGUGAUCAAGAAGGCCUGUGGCCUAGGUUGGUGACCUUCAUUGCACUUGGGAGGGGUGCUUGCCUUAGGUCUGCCGAAGAGGUGGAGCCUACGCUAUAAUUUGUGAUAGUGGGGGCCUGCGUUCGCGCAACCCCUGC